GGGCCCGCACAAGCGGUGGAGCAUGUGGUUUAAUUCGAUGCAACGCGAAGAACCUUACCUGGUCUUGACAUACACAGAAUCUUGUAGAGAUACGAGAGUGCCUUCGGGAAUUGUGAUACAGGUGCUGCAUGGCUGUCGUCAGCUCGUGUCGUGAGGUGUCAGGUUAAGUCCUAUAACGAGCGCAACCCCUGUGGUUAGUUGCCAGCACUUCGGGUGGGAACUCUAGGGAGACUGCCGGUGACAAACCGGAGGAAGGUGGGGACGACGUCAAGUCAUCAUGGCCCUUACGGCCUGGGCUACACACGUGCUACAAUGGGCGGUACAGAGGGCAGCGAAGUCGCGAGGCCGAGCAAAUCCCUUAAAACCGUUCGUAGUCCGGAUUGGAGUCUGCAACUCGACUCCAUGAAGUCGGAAUCGCUAGUAAUCG
rnacentral:rRNA from 1 species